GAACGUCUACUAAGGGACACCACUCAUGACAACAAAAUGGCGAAUGUGUGGCAUGGAAUACGAUUUCUUGCUAGAUUUUCUCUAAAUUGUACUAAAAAAGAUAACAUUAAUGGUUUGGUUAGACAAUUUGGACAUUUGAGCAUAACACAACAAUUUAUGCCAACAUACUGUGCAAGAUCAAUGUUAUUAAAACAUAUCGCUUCUCAGAACACUUUUAUUGAGUCAUCAUAUUCCAUAAGCACAGCUAAUAGUAACUCACCAGUGCCAUCGGAAUCAAGUUUGGAUACGACAUCAGAUUAUACUGUAAUAAAGAAGCAAAAUAAAG